rnacentral:rRNA from 1 species
AUGAACAAACACAUGAUGAAAAUCCUGAGGAGGAUGACGAGGAAACCCUUGGUAGGGGCAAGAGACAAAGGACUACAAAGACCUUUGGUGAUGAUUUCUUCGUGUACCUCGUGGAUGAUACUCCCACUUCUAUUUCAGAAGCGUAUGCCUCUUCAGAAGCUGACUACUGGAAGGAUGCGGUCCGUAAUGAGAUGGAUUCCAUCAUGGCUAAUGGGACAUGGGAGAUCACUAAACGUCCCUAUGGUUGCAAACCAUUAG